rnacentral:lncRNA from 1 species
GGUUCUUUUUUUUUUUUUUUUUUUUUUUUUGGUUCUUUUUUUCGGGGCUGGGGACUGAACCCAGGGCCUUGUGCUUCCUAGGCAAGCGCUCUACCACUGAGCUAAAUCCCCAACCCCAGGGACAGUGGUUUUAAGGAUGGCAAUUCUUUCAGCUUCGUAUGUCACCAGGUUUUCCUUAUAGCCCGGAAUGAGAGUAAUUGUGCAGUAGGAAGUACCUGAACGGCACUCGGGAAAACGUGUGCACAGUGCUGCGGCACAUCGUGGCAGCCAUGAUGUCCUGGCUCAGAUGUGUCGGCCCGCCAUUGGUUUAAGAACGGAUAGGAAGGACACAUUUCAAAACCAACAGUGGUCCCUGCAGAAGUGCCUGAAUGCCUGCUCGCCCACAGAAUCAGUGUUAGGGGCAUUAGGAGGUCAGACCAAACAGUCUCUCUCCUAGCUCUUUUCUUCUAUUUUUGUUUUUUUUUUGUGUGUUUGUUUGUUUGUGUUUGUUUGUUUUUCUAGACAGGGUUUCUCUGUGUAGCCCUGCUGUCUUGGAACUCUCUCUGUAGACCAAACUGGCAUGCGACGUGUUUGUCCCUCUUACGUGGCUGUCUCCCUCUGCCCAGUUCCAGGCACACUUCUCUUAAUACUUGAAUGGAAUGUAGUUGGGGUUGUUUCCUUUUAGACUUGUGUAUCUGUGCCAAGGUGACUGAGAACGCAGGCAGUCUGUGCAGUCACCCUCCCUCGUUGGCUUGCAUGAAGAAGGUGGGGUUGUGUCACAGUGACCACCGUCAGAAAGCAUUGCACUGCUGUUGUUGGAAGGGACUGCCAGCCUCCCCUCCUUUAAAAGGAAGAAGUGAUUUCAGUAUGUGUUUUAAAAUAUAAUAAUGUAGAAUUCACUCGUGUUAAAGUUUUACUGCCUUGUCUGUUACAUGUAUAGAAGGGUCUUAUCCCCUCUGCGCAUCCAGUAGAGUGGGAGGGAGAGUAAAGGGAGCCGUUACAGAGUGGCACGCUAUGCCACCGAGCUGGCUGAAUAAACUCCAUUGAGUACAAACCUGUCUUUUUUCUCUGUGGGGAGUCUAGCCUUGGGGUAAAAAAUAAAUGUGUUUAUGGGAAAACAUUUUCCUAAAUCUUUUAUCUCCCACCAGGAAUGUUUGAGAUUAGUGGAUUACUUCAUUUCUAGACUGGUGGUGGUGGUGAUGGAGAUUUCUCAUAUUUAAUGUCUGAGUGUAUUGUUUCUAUAAUUGUUGAUUAAAGUUUUCUGUAUCGGGU